AAUGCUCAGGAUGGACAUCUAGCAGCUGGCCGUAAUGGUGUCAAGCGGCUUCGCACUGUCAGGCAUCCAAAUAUUCUAUCAUUUCUGUACAGUACUGAGGUUGAAACUUUUGAUGGUUCUACCUCAAGGAUUACUUUGUAUAUGGUAACUGAACCUGUUAUGCCAUUAUCUGAGAAGAUCAAGGAGCUAGGUUUAGAAGGCACACAAAGAGAUGAGUAUUAUGCUUGGGGGCUGCACCAGAUAGCUAAAGCUGUGAGCUUUUUGAAUAAUGAUUGUAAACUUGUACAUGGUAAUGUUUGCUUGGCCAGUGUUGUUGUCACGCCAACUCUAGACUGGAAGCUGCAUGCUUUUGAUGUUUUAUCUGAAUUUGAUGGGAAUAAUGAAAGUGCAACUGGACCAAUGCUGCAAUAUGAAU
rnacentral:misc_RNA from 1 species